rnacentral:rRNA from 1 species
GACGAACGCUGGCGGCGUGCCUAAUACAUGCAAGUCGAGCGCAGGAAACUGACGGAACUCUUCGGAGGGAAGGCAGCGGAAUGAGCGGCGGACGGGUGAGUAACACGUAAGGAACCUGCCUUAAGGAUUGGGAUAACUCCGAGAAAUCGGAGCUAAUACCGGAUAGUUCAUCGGACCGCAUGGACCGUUGAUGAAAGGCGCUCCGGCGUCACCUUGAGAUGGCCUUGCGGUGCAUUAGCUAGUUGGUGGGGUAACGGCACACCAAGGCGACGAUGCAUAGCCGACCUGAGCGGGUGAUCGGCCACACUGGGACUGAGACACGGCCCAGACUCCUACGGGAGGCAGCAGUAGGGAAUCUUCCACAAUGGACGAAAGUCUGAUGGAGCAACGCCGCGUGAGUGAUGAAGGUUUUCGGAUCGUAGAACUCUGUUGUAAGGGAAGAACACGUACGAGAGGAAAUGCUCGUACCUUGACGGUACCUUACGAGAAAGCCACGGCUAACUACGUGCCAGCCGCCGCUGUAACAC